GCUGUCAAGUUUCGACCCCCAUGUUGGCUCUGACCUGUGCAUCUAUGCCGACACUUACCCCUAACAGCACAUGUGGCAAGCCACCGAGCCAUGUUCCUUCCAACCUUCCUUCUGACCCCGGCUUUGCUCGUCGAAUUUGGAAAGAUUGAUAGAAAAUCCUUAUAUAAUCCCAUUAAAUCAUGCCACCAUUGAGAGCAGCUG
rnacentral:lncRNA from 1 species